rnacentral:rRNA from 1 species
AAUGAACGUUGGCGGCGUGGAUUAGGCAUGCAAGUCGAGCGCGAUGAGUUUGGUAGCUUGCUAUUGAACUCGGAAAGCGGCGAAAGGGAGAGUAACGCGUAGUUACGUGCCCCAGGGUUCGGAAUAGCCACGGGAAACUGUGGGUAAUGCCGAAUAACAUCUCCGGAUCAAAGGUGUGAUUCCGCCCUGGGAGCGGACUGCGUCCUACUAGCUAGUUGGCGGGGUAAUGGCCCACCAAGGCAACAAUGGGUAGCGGGUGGGAGAGCAUGACCCGUCUCACUGGGACUGACACUGCCCAGACACCUACGGGUGGCUGCAGUCGAGAAUCGUCGGCAAUGGGCGAAAGCCUGACCGAGCGACGCCGCGUGCGGGAUGAAGGCCCUCGGGUUGUAAACCGCUGUCGUAGGGGAGGAAGGCUCUGUGAAGAACAGGGUUUGACCUAUCCUAGGAGGAAGUACGGGCUAAGUUCGUGCCAGCCGCCGCAGUAA